rnacentral:rRNA from 1 species
AGCAUAUCAAUAAGCGGAGGAAAAGAAACCAACAGGGAUUGCCUCAGUAACGGCGAGUGAAGCGGCAACAGCUCAAAUUUGAAAUCUGGCCCUAGGCCCGAGUUGUAAUUUGCAGAGGAUGUUUCAGGUGCGGUGCCUUCCAAGUCCCCUGGAACGGGGCGCCACGGAGGGUGAGAGCCCCGUAUGGUCGGACACCAAGCCUAUGUGAAACUCCUUCGACGAGUCGAGUAGUUUGGGAAUGCUGCUCAAAAUGGGAGGUAGACCCCUUCUAAAGCUAAAUACCGGCUAGAGACCGAUAGCGCACAAGUAGAGUGAUCGAAAGAUGAAAAGAACUUUGAAAAGAGGGUUAAACAGCACGUGAAAUUGUUAAAAGGGAAGCGCUUGUGACCAGACUUGCGCCGGGGCGAUCAUCUAGCGUUCUCGCUGGUGCACUCGUCCCGGCUCAGGCCAGCGUCGGUUCGGGAGGGGGGACAAAAGCUUGGGGAUGUGGCUCCCUCGGGAGUGUUAUAGCCCAAGUGUAUGCCCCCGCCCGGACCGAGGUUCGCGCUCUGCAAGGACGCUGGCGUAAUGGUCACCAGCGGCCCGUCUUGAAACACGGACCAAGGAGUCGAGGUUCUGCGCGAGUGUUUGGGUGCCAAACCCGCACGCGUAAUGAAAGUGAACGUAGGUGGGAGCUUCGGCGCACCACCGACCGAUCCUGAUGUUCUCGGAUGGAUUUGAGUACGAGCGUUGGGCCUCGGACCCGAAAGAUGGUGAACUAUGCUUGGAUAGGGUGAAGCCAGAGGAAACUCUGGUGGAGGCUCGCAGCGGUUCUGACGUGCAAAUCGAUCGUCAAAUCUGAGCAUGGGGGCGAAAGACUAAUCGAACCAUCUAGUAGCUG